UCCGAGCGUCAUUUCAACCCUCAGGCCCUGCCUGGCGUUGGAGGACUGCGCCUGCAGCCUCCCAAAGCGAGCGGCGGCAACGCCCCGAAUCCGAACGCAGUAGUUACUUCUCGUUCCGGGCCCGGGUCGUCGUCCAGCCGGAAAACCCCCCAUUUUGCAUGGUUGACCUCGGAUCAGGUAGGAAUACCCGCUGAACUUAA
rnacentral:misc_RNA from 1 species